rnacentral:rRNA from 1 species
CUUACACAUGCAAGUCGAACGGCAGCACGGGGGCAACCCUGGUGGCGAGUGGCGAACGGGUGAGUAAUACAUCGGAACGUGUCCUGUAGUGGGGGAUAGCCCGGCGAAAGCCGGAUUAAUACCGCAUACGCUCUACGGAGGAAAGGGGGGGAUCUUCGGACCUCUCCGCUAUGGGGGCGGCCGAUGGCAGAUUAGCUAGUUGGUGGGGUAAAGGUCUACCAAGGCGACGAUCUGUAGCUGGUCUGACAGGACGACUAGCCACACUGGCACUGAGACACGGU